ensembl:lncRNA
CGCGCGGCUACUUUUUGCCGCCGGCCCUAAGCUGUCGGCUAUAGGUGCGUCCUGCUGGCGGAGAUGAAACGUUUGCCGCCGAAUACGUCACUCCCAUUUCUUGCGAGAUGCCUGACUGCUUCAUUUUCUCUAGCGGUUGCCUCGGUUUAAUGGACCGCGGUCGUCCGGCGGCAAGACGCUUUUAAAUACAAGGCUACUCUCAAAGUCGACCGGCCAUGUUGGUUUGGACACACAUUCGCAUCAGUUCGUCGCUCAAUCGCGAGUUACAGCCCGCAGUUUGCUAGCUAGCAAAGUCAUCGUCUACCAUCGUUUAAAUACCUUGGCCAGAGCAUAACCGGUUAUCUUCACCCAAGAAACCUACUGUUGGUCAAUCAUUUUGGCUUUAAAGGUAAAUGCAUUGUUAGUCACAAUGUCUAGUUACUGGGCCAAAAGGAAAAUAAUAUUGAAAAGAGUUGAGAGGGACAAACGGGACAUUCACUUGAAUCACUACAUGCUACAGAAGUUGCAUCGAUUCCAGAAAACCAGGAAAAUGUUGAGCCAUCUAGACUUCAGAGCAGAACCAGGUUUCUCCCCAGUAAUCCAGACUCCACUUCAGAGCCAAGAGUUUGAGUACAACUCGUCAAGUACUAAGCUUUACACCACCAGCAGCGAAUUUACCCUGGCAGCAUAUGGGUGAAAACGCUGGAGGAGAAAGUAAUCGCUUUGUUAUUGGCCCUUGGACGCCCCUGGCAUCUCGCGUACAGCACAAAGUUUUCAGCUAUGAAGAUUUCCAGAGACUCCAGAAUGAAAACCAAGCUCUGAGGGAAUGCAAUGCAAUGCACAAACAGCUUCGAAUGACAGCGGCUCACUUCAAGAACAAGUGAUGCAAGUAGGGACAAUGUUGAAGACAUUUGCUCUCACUGGGCAAUCAGGUGCGUUACCUGAAAGGAGCAUCUGACCGUGAAGGCAGAAAAAGGUGCCGCACAGCUGAGAAGGACCCACAGCCGACCCCUUAAACCUAGGCUGACUACUGACACCCCAGCAUCACUGAACUGGAACACUUUCUUUAUCCUGCAGUCAGUAACAUCAAGAAGACAGAAGUGCCAGGCUACAAUCACCAAAUCCACCCUGUUUUCUUUUUGUAUUUUAACUUAAGUAUUGGCUUAUUUCAUUCCGUCUUAACGAUUCUAUUAUAGUUUGUAAAUCCUAUUUCAUACCUGUUACUUGAUAUUGCACAUUAACUAGUACCAAAAUUCUACUUUAAUUUCAUCAGUGUGCCUAACUGUUAUUCUAUUAAUACUAGUCUGGAAAUACUAUUUCAUACCUCUGAUACUUGAUAUUGCACAUUACCUGGUAACAAAUAUUCUACUUACUCUGUUUUUAACAUCAGCAUUUUUCAUUCCAUCACAGUGCUUAAGUGUUAUUCUAUUGUUAAAUAUAGCUUGUAAAUCCUUGUGCCACAGGUCAGCAUUGCAGUUGGUCUGUUCUACUACUGUUUUUACCUCCGUAUUUUUAUAUAAAUAUAUGUCAAGUUUUGUUUAUCACAGAUACAAGAGACACAGAUCUUAUUGCAGUACGGUGUAAAUCUUGUGCUUCAGGUCAGCAAUGCCAUUAUAAUGGUCUAUUCUACUCUAGAGCUUUACUCUAAAUUAUUACCACUUUUCCUAUUGUUAGAAAUGGCUUGAAAAUGUGAUGUUAUACCUCGAUUUAUUUGGUAUCCUGCACAUUCUUUGGUACCAAAUAUCCUCAUUACUUGUUAUGUUUACUGGUAAUUAUUUUCCUCUUAUUUGACCUCUUUAUAUUAUUAACAAUGAUUGUGUUUGUUAUAAUUUGCUUGUAUGGCAGUUUUUUUUUUGCCAAAAUUUAAUUGGAAACCUGCAUGUUCUGUAGGGUGUAUUUAUAUGUAUAUUUUUUUCUGCCUGUUAUUUUUUUCAGUGAUCUGACACAUCUUGUUUGAAUGACAGUUACUGUACUUUGAAAUGUGG